rnacentral:tRNA from 1 species
GCCGGGAUUCCCGAGCCUGGUACGGGGCAGUUAAAAGCCUAAGCCUGGAGAUACAGGCUUGAAAGCCUGUGGCCCUUUUAGGGCCUCGUGGGUUCAAAUCCCACUCCCGGCGCCA